CCUACGGGAGGCAGCAGUGGGGAAUAUUGCACAAUGGGGGAAACCCUGAUGCAGCGACGCCGCGUGAGCGUUAAAGUCUUUCGGUAUGUAAAUCUCUAUCAGCAGGGAAGAAAAUGACGGUACCUGACUAAGACGCCCCGGCUAACUCCAUUCCAGCAGCCGCGGUCAUACGUAGGGGGCAAGCUUUAUCCGGAUUUACUGGGUGUAAAGGGAGCGUAGACGGCGUGGCAAGACAGAUGUGAAAGGCUGGGGCUCAAACCCAGGACUGCAUUUGGAACUGUCAUGCUAGAGUGUCGGAGAGGCAGGCGGAAUUUCUAGUGUAGCGGUGAAAUGCGUAGAUAUUAGGAGGAACACCAGUGGCGAAGGCGGCCUGCUGGACGAUGACUGACGUUGAGGCUCGAAAGCGUGGGGAGCAAACAGGAUUAGAUACCCUUGUAGUC
rnacentral:rRNA from 1 species